CAAGACAAAAGCAAAAGAAUAGCUGGAACAAAUCCAGCCCAAAUGAAGUUCUGCAAAAACAACUAGAAACGUGAGCCAUUGGGGAUAAAAGAAUCCUAAUUUCAAAAGUGUUAACAUUGUUCUUCACUUCUUUGUCAACUCAAUUGUGCUGCUGCCUUCGCCCAUGGCUUCCAAUUCCAAGUCUCAAAAGUCAGUGAAGAAUUAUUUUACCAAAGUUCCAAAAUCAAGUUUGGACUCUCAUGAUCAACCUAAUCUAGAAGAAAAUGCCAACCACUCAGAAGUAUCAUUGCUUUCUUCUCAGGAAUUUAAUUUGAAUUCUUUAAAGCAUGAUCCGGGUGAAAGAACUCAAAUCUUGGACUUUCAUCCAAAUCAUCGUGAUGUCAUUCGAAGAGAAUACCUUAGGAGAGAUCCUUGUCAACCUCGGCUUAAAGAGUAUCCUAAAAUAAAAGUUUCUAGAGACAUGCGUCAUUUUAAUCCUCAGUGAUUUAGUGAAUAUUCUAAUUGGUUGGAGUAUAGUGAAAGUAAAGAUGCAGUCUUUUGUUUGAAGAAAUGAAACCUCGUCGUGUACAGUUGUAGUAAUAUACUUGCACUUUCAAUAGAGAAUUGUGUUUGUUUUGAUUUCUUCGCGUGUUUAUUUUUUAAUUUUCUUGAACCCCCUUGUCAAAUGUUCUGGUUCCGCCCCUGUUCACACUGCAAAAUAAAGAACCAUGCAUGAAGUUCUGACCAUGCAUAGACAGAAGCAAUUAUGAGAGCACUUACUUACAAGCCCUAAAUUCUCGUGUUAAAAGAUCAGAUGUGUUUUAUAUGUGAAAAUCAUUUCCUAUGUUCAUUUUAAAAGCACCAUUUCAGAAGCCCAGAGGGAAUAGUUUGCUCCAUAGGCAUUUGUAUGCAGAGGAUACUAAUAAACAAAAUCAGAUGGGUAUACUGAUGAGUUGUAUAUGGAUGUUUCACCAGUCCUGAGUAACAGUUCCCUUCCCUUUUAUUUUUUAACUCCUGGAAUCAGGACAUAUGACCACUAGGCUGGCUGGCAAACGAGCUAUAAGAGUGAAAGAAACUCAGCUUCAAUUUUGACUCCUGGUUCUUUUCUAGAUUAAAUCAGCAAGGACAAUCUCCAUUUUAUCAUGAGAAAAACUAUAAGCUAAGCCUGAAGUUAUCCACGAAAUUAGUUCCCAAACGUGUCCGGCAUACUCCUCAGGAAUGUGAUUAGGCAGAGUGACACAAGUGGAUAUGAAAACAGACAUGUAUAAUUAGUUCAUCAUCUACAACUUAACACUUGCGCACCUGAUGCGUUUUGGUAUGCCAACUUUAAUUGUGAACAAGUGAUCACCACGUAUUGAUGGCCUAUUCAGCUUCGGUGCACCUUUCCUUCCCAAGACAAGCACAUCCCCAGGUUGGGUGCCUGGAGGAAUCUGGAGAUCGGCCAUCCCUUCCACUGUUUUAACCUGAGGAGAACAUCAGGGAGAAGGAAACGCACUAAGAAAAUAAGCUGGUCCUGGAUGCUUCUAGCCCUGCUGAUGCCACUGAUAUACUUUCAACAUCUGAUAAUCGAAUAGGUCUACUUCUUGCAGAGGCUCAGCUGCUAGCACAAGAUGUUGAAACUACUAGUGCUAGUAGAAAUCUUGAUGGAGGCCAUUCAAGGACAGCAGUGGAUGACUUGAGGAAACAGCUAGCUGACAUUUGCGUUGACAAUGCCAUAUUGAGGAAACAGAUGAACGCUGUCAUUCGCUAUGCACUCCAAACAGCUAAUAGAUCGGAGGAUUAUGAGGAAGAGGUCCUCCAACAAAGACAGCAACUACGAAGCCUUUAGCUGGAUAAAUUAUAAAACGCAAGACACGUAUCUACAAUAAUAUGUACAAGCUUGUAUUAUGUCUCCUUUCUUUUGUACUUCUCAAAUGACCUUGUAUAUAUGGCUUAUUCCAUCCCAUUAUAUAAGUGACUAGUUGGAAAAAUUGUCAUAGAAGACGUAAGUUUGAAAUAAAGCAACCUUGUAUA